AUUGAACGCUGGCGGCAUGCUUUACACAUGCAAGUCGAACGGCAGCGGGGGCUUCGGCCUGCCGGCGAGUGGCGAACGGGUGAGUAAUGCAUCGGAACGUGCCCAUGUCGUGGGGGAUAACGUAGCGAAAGCUACGCUAAUACCGCAUACGCCCUGAGGGGGAAAGCGGGGGGAUUCUUCGGAACCUCGCGCGAUUGGAGCGGCCGAUGUCGGAUUAGCUAGUAGGUGAGGUAAAGGCUCACCUAGGCGACGAUCCGUAGCGGGUCUGAGAGGAUGAUCCGCCACACUGGGACUGAGACACGGCCCAGACUCCUACGGGAGGCAGCAGUGGGGAAUUUUGGACAAUGGGCGCAAGCCUGAUCCAGCCAUGCCGCGUGAGUGAAGAAGGCCUCGGGUUGGUUAAAGGACUCUUUCGGUCCGGGAAGGAAAGUACGUGGUCUCUAACAUAGGCCAUGGAUGACGGUACCGGACUAAGAAG
rnacentral:rRNA from 1 species